UCCUGACGCCCUCCUCUCCAUCUCCGAUUCCUCCUCCGCCCGCGAUUCCUUCUCUCCUCGCCGCAUCCCCGUCCCCGUGCCCUUCUCCAAACUCCGCCAUCCCCGUCCCGUACUCCCUCCCUUGGAAAAGAUCAAUUGGAGGAGUAAUUCCGGCUUCAUCCGGUGGUGGCGAUGCCGGAAAAGAUCGAUUUUUUUUCGACGGGAGGAGUAAUUCCGGCUUGAUCCGGUGGUGCCGAUGCCGGAUCCUGCGACGGCGCCGACGCGAGCCACCAAGGGCCGUGGACUCCCUCUCCGGCUGCGAUUCCGCCAAACCCUGUCGUCUCGGCGUCCCAGCGACCAUCUCCGAGGCGGAUAAAAUCGUUUCUUUCGGUAGCAGCCCGAGGAGAAGGCCCGGACAAAUCCUCGGAGCAGUAAGCCCGCCGCUCUAGCACCUUUCCUCACCGCCGUCGUCAUCAAGAUCACAAGAGCAGGACUCUUUGGACGGUGCUGAAGAUUGACCGGUUGGAGUCUAUUGAUUUGGGUAUCCAGGAGUAUCCUACUAGUUACACGGAGAAUCGAUUGUCAAGAACUAAUUUGGCGGAUUCACGAGGGAAAUAGGUUUUCUGAAGUUUCUUGGUCCUUACUACAUGGUUCCAAUUACCAGGAGAAGAAAAGUUGGCAGAAUCUGUGGUCAUUAUAUUUUUAUUCAAUUGGAAAGAGUGAAAUGGUUGCAAUAGAAAUCUGCAUUUAAGUCUUCAGCUCUCAUAUUCUUUUUGUGGUUUAUUUAUUUAUACACUCAGAGAGAGGACUGGUUAGCUUAGGCCAUCGGAGUAUCUGUUUGAUUGAUGUGAUGAAUUUCAAUUCUGCCUUGGAGUAUUUAUUUAUUGAGCUUUACCUGUCUUUUUCUCAGGUUCUCUUGGUGGUCGGAAUUUUGCAAGGUGAAGUUGGUCCUAUGAUUUCUGUCAUGAAAAUUGAAAUGACACGUUUGGAGUCUUGUUCGGAUGUCGGUGGUUUACAUGUUCCAAUUCAAGAUAUUAAAGAACCAGUUGAACUUCCCGAGCUAUAUGAGGACAUUGGAUUUAGGCCUCUCAAGGUAGUCAUACUGUAUGGGGAACAGGGAAAGCUCUACUUGCAAAGCACAACAUUCUCCACUGGUAGGCAUUCGUUGACGAGAAGCUUGGCCAAACCCAGUAGGUAUGCGUGGAAUUAUUGAGCUCAGGUUUUUUGGGAUUAAGAUUCUUACACCAAAGGAUCACUAUAUACCAAGACUUCGAGGAUGAUAAGAGCGGAAGAUUUGGAUUUAAUUGUUAGGCUCGAUGGCUCAAAAUACGACAAGGAAUCAACUGAAAGAGGAACAUGUAUGAAUCGUACGGAAGAACUACUAUAUGCUAUUAAGGAUGAUUUACAAGCUCUACGUCAGAAAUUUCUUUUUGAGAUUGUAACAUGCAAGGACAAUGAAAUUCAGCUGCUGUUAGUAACUUCUUUCCUGCAGAGACAUGUAAGUUCUCUAUUUUUUUUCUCUCCUAUGGAAACAAAAGAGAUGUUAUUUUCUUAGAGCCUGUUCUUUCAUACCGAACAGUGAAAUUAAUUUCUUCUAAUCGCGUAUAUGUUUCUUCUAAUUCUUCUUUCUAUUCUCAAGGGUCUCAUUAAUAUUGUCACCUUCAAGGGAAGUGCACUGCAAGAUUCAACUCAAAGGAAUACUUCCAUGGGAAAAAUGUUUCCUUACCGAUAGAGCUAUCUUUUUUUCUCUUGCUGAUCUAGUGAUAGUUUCUUAAACAGCUGAAACAGUUAUGAAAACGAGCAGUAAGACAUGUACAUUUUUUUGUCUUUCAUGACGCCUUGGUGAUAUUAUCAUCACUCAAUUUCAUCAAGAUGUAAGCUUACCACUUUUAUGACAGUUUUAGAAGUACCACUUUGUAAUAAAUGUAAAAUGAAAUUUCA